AUGGAGAGAUGUGUUCUACUGCUUCUUAUAACAGGACCAGGUAUAUUUGCUGACAGCAUUGAACCAAAAGUCAAGGAUGUUAUAAUCAGUAAAGAAGGAGAGUCUGUGAAACUGAGCUGCAUUUAUGAUACAAGCAGCAACAUUAUUUCGCUGUACUGGUACAGACAGUAUCCAAACAGAAUACUCCAGUUUGUAUUGCGUAAAGGUGCUCGAUCACGUAGUGCUAGUGAGGACAAGGAUAUACCAGACCGUCGUUUUCAGUCAGCUACAUCCCAAACAUCCACUGAACUCACUAUUAACAGUGUAACUCUGUCAGAUUCAGCUCUCUAUUACUGUGCUCUAAGAGUUGGAGCCCAGUGA